rnacentral:rRNA from 1 species
AAUCAACGCUGGCGGCGUGCCUCAGACAUGCAAGUCGAACGCGAAAGUUUCCUUCGGGAGACAAGUAGAGUGGCGCACGGGUGAGUAACACGUAGGUAAUCUACCUUUGGAUGGGGAAUAACAACCGGAAACGGUUGCUAAUACCGCAUAAUGCAGCGGCACCUAAUGGUGACAGUUGUUAAAGCGGGGGAUCGAAAGACCUCGCGUCUAAAGAGGAGCCUGCGGCGGAUUAGCUAGUGGUAAGGUAAUGGCUUACCAAGGCUACGAUCCGUAACCGGCCUGAGAGGGCGGUCGGUCACACUGACACUGACAUACGGGUCAGACUCCUACGGGAGGCAGCAGUCGGGAAUUUUGGGCAAUGGGCGAAAGCCUGACCCAGCAACGCCACGUGAAGGAUGAAAUCCCUCGGGAUGUAAACUUCGCAAGAACGGGAAGAAUAAGUAGGGG